rnacentral:sRNA from 1 species
AGAUGCAAGAUAUGAAGACACAUCAGUGUCCCAGUCAGUGUUUGCUCUGAUCCCCAUAAGUAUGCGUUGUCAGCUGAUCUUGCUGGCUAUGCGGGUGUCCCCUUCCUCCUUCACCAUCCCAUGUGCAUCUCUCUGGAAGCUGCACACUUGGUCAGAAAGGGCAGACACCUCCAGUAGAGGAGGACCAUAAUUAGUACUUCUUCUAAUGGGUGAAUGGUGGCUGCAAAUAUAACACUUGCAAAUCUUCAUGGUUGGAGGAUUU